rnacentral:misc_RNA from 1 species
GGAGUCUUCCAAGAGUUUUACGUUUAACGAGGUUGGUUCUAUCCGUACAAGCAGCAGCAAAGUCGUUUGCUGCCAUUUUUCUUCAGAUGGCAAGCUGUUGGCCAGUGCUGGUCAUGAAAAGAAGGUAGUUCUCUGGAACAUGGACACCCUGCAAACGGAGUGCACUCCAGAGGAACACACAUCUAUUAUUUUAGAUGUUCGUUUCCGGCCCAACUCAACUCAAUUGGCAACUUCUUCUUAUGACAAAACAGUGCGACUAUGGAAUGCAGCAGAUCCAAGUUAUUGUUUACACACAUAUACUGGGCACACUACCCAUGUGACAUCACUAGACUUUCAUC